GAUGAACGCUGGCGGCGUGCCUAAUACAUGCAAGUCGAGCGAACGGACGAGAAGCUUGCUUCUCUAAUGUUAGCGGCGGACGGGUGAGUAACACGUGGAUAACCUACCUAUAAGACUGGGAUAACUUCGGGAAACCGUAGCUAAUACCGGAUAAUAUUUUGAACCGCAUGGUUCAAAAGUGAAAGACGGUCUUGCUGUCACUUAUAGAUGGAUCCGCGCUGCAUUAGCUAGUUGGUAAGGUAACGGCUUACCAAGGCAACGAUGCAUAGCCGACCUGAGAGGGUGAUCGGCCACACUGGAACUGAGACACGGUCCAGACUCCUACGGGAGGCAGCAGUAGGGAAUCUUCCGCAAUGGGCGAAAGCCUGACGGAGCAACGCCGCGUGAGUGAUGAAGGCCUUCGGAUCGUAAAACUCUGUUAUUAGGGAAGAACAUAUGUGUAAGUAACUGUGCACAUCUUGACGGUACCUAAUCAGAAAGCCACGGCUAACUACGUG
rnacentral:rRNA from 1 species